rnacentral:rRNA from 1 species
UACGGAGGAUCCAAGCGUUAUCCGGAUUUAUUGGGUUUAAAGGGUGCGUAGGUGGCCUGUUAAGUCAGGGGUGAAAGACGGCAGCUUAACUGUCGCAGUGCCUUUGAUACUGAUGAACUUGAAUGAACUAGAGGUAGGCGGAAUGUGACAAGUAGCGGUGAAAUGCAUAGAUAUGUGGAGGAACACCGGUGGCGAAGGCGGCAUCCUGGACCGAUACUGACGCUGAGGAGCAAAAGCCAGGGGAGCAAACGGG